rnacentral:rRNA from 1 species
GAUGAACGCUCGCUACAGGCUUAACACAUGCAAGUCGCGGGGCAGCAUGGGGGUUGCUUGCAAUCCCCGAUGGCGACCGGCGCACGGGUGAGUAACGCGUAUCCAACCUGCCCUUCACCACGGGUUAACCCGGCGAAAGUCGUACCAAUUCCGUAUGUUGUCCAUUUACGGCACCCGAUAAGGACGAAUGGUUUGGCGCAGUUGCAUGGGGAUGCGUACGAUUAGCUGGACGGCGGGGUGACGGCGCGCCGUGGCGCCGAUCGGUAGGGGUUCUGAGAGGAAGGUCCCCGACACUGGAACUGAGACACGGUCCAGACUCCUACGGGAGGUAGCGGUGAGGACUAUUGGUCAAUGGGCGUAAGCCUGAACCAGCCAAGUAGCGUGCAGGAUGACGGCGCUAUGGGUUGUAAUCUGCUGUUAUGAGGGGAUAAAGUGGGCAUCGUGUGGGUUUUUGAAGGUACCGAAUGAAUAAGGACCGGCUAAUUACGUG